rnacentral:rRNA from 1 species
AUGCCCCCCAUUUUGCCAUGUCAGCCUCUAACCUUUUUACCCUUCCUAGAAAACCGUUGCUUGGCUAUGUUACCGCUUUGCUCAGCCCAUCUUAUAGCGUUCUUAGUUGCAGGUGAAGUUGAAGAUUGCUCCAUGAUGGACAAGUUUAUGUUGGGAUAUCACAAUAUAUCUUAUUUAAUUAAUGCAUCUAUAUACUUGGUAAAGGGUGGAACACUCGGACUUAUGCCUGGUGUUUUGUUCCACUCUUGCCGCCCUAGUUUUCGUCAUACCGGUGUUCACGGUUGGGUGAUUUAUGGGACCCCCUUGACAGUUCGCUUUGAAAAAAACUCCUCCAGCAAGGCCCAACCUUGGUUUUAA